rnacentral:rRNA from 1 species
CUUUCCCUCUUUCUUUCUGCCUAACACAUGCAAGUCGAACGACAGCACAGUAAGAGCUUGCUCUUACGGGUGGCGAGUGGCGGACGGGUGAGGAAUACAUCGGAAUCUACUUUUUCGUGGGGGAUAACGUAGGGAAACUUACGCUAAUACCGCAUACGACCUACGGGUGAAAGCAGGGGAUCUUCGUACCUUGCGCGAUUGAAUGAGCCGAUGUCGGAUUAGCUAGUUGGCGGGGUAAAGGCCCACCAAGGCGACGAUCCGUAGCUGGUCUGAGAGGAUGAUCAGCCACACUGGAACUGAGACACGGUCCAGACUCCUACGGGAGGCAGCAGUGGGGAAUAUUGGACAAUGGGCGCAAGCCUGAUCCAGCCAUACCGCGUGGGUGAAGAAGGCCUUCGGGUUGUAAAGCCCUUUUGUUGGGAAAGAAAAGCAGCAGGUUAAUACCCCGCUGUUCUGACGGUACCCAAAGAAUAAGCACCGGCUAACUUCGUG